AUUUUUAUCAUCCUUUGCAGAAUCCAAGACAAUAUUCUGUGAUAAGUUUUCGUGCUCAACUACGAGAAAGGAAUUUGAAUCGAAAAAUAAAGAAAGUGACUGUGAUAAGGGGAAGCGUAAAACGUAUGACAGAUCGAAAUCUAGACUAUCACCACAGAGGCCUUUACCUGAAAUCGUCUCUAGACUCGCAAUCUAACUGGAUGAUAACGAAAAUGAAGAGGUGUAUAGUUCUCAUUACCACAGGACGUCAUUUUCAGAAUCUCUCAACGAGUUUGAAGUGUUUGUUCCAAAUUUGAAAAAUGAUAUAAGGAAGAAGAAGAAAACCAGAAAAAUGAACAAGGAUUGUACAUCAGGUUCAUGUCGCUGAAUGGUGAAGAAUAUUGGAAACACGCAUGGAGAUUACGUUCUCCUUGUUGAAUUACAGAAAAGCACAUACGUCAAUGGAAUGGAGCAUUUGCCAGGGUGGUCACAACAACAACAACAAGAUAAACUAGUUUACUCGACUUUCUUAACUUAAAUGUGAAAGAAGGAGAAGAAGAAGUUAAUUCAGUUGUUUUUAUUUAGUUAAAAGUUGGUUUUAUUGAACAAACUUUUUAUGAUGCAACAUUAUUUUGAAUGAUAAAAGAAUGAGGUUUUUUGCUUUUGCUAAUACAUGUGCAAUAUAAAUCUUUAAGUAAAAAAUGAACCUAACAUAGAACAUCAAUUUUAAUAUUUACUUACAGAAAAGUUAGUAUUAUUGAACAAACUUUUUACAAUGCAACAUUAUCUUAAAUGCUAAAAGAAUUAUCUAUUCUGCUUUUGCUAAUACAUCUGCAAUACAAAUCUAAAGAAUGAGCCUUACAUGGAACAUAAAUUUUAAUAGUUUUACUUGCAUGGCACAUUUAUUAAUUCACAAUACAAACAUUAAAGAAAAUUAGAUUGAACUUCCACUGAGAUCAACUCGAAAAUAAGACGUAUUCAUUAUUAUAAUAACUUUCUCUCUUCAAAGUCAAUUAUUUGUUAUUGGUAUCUCACUUUCAUCAUACAUUAAUGUAGAUCUUUCAUGAAGCAGACUUAUCACUUUUCUUUUGUUAUUUCCUCUUUGUUAUUAUUUGUAAAUACUUGACUCAUAUGGAUGAAAGUGGCACCACCUACAAAUCUAGUAGAGAAGCUUAGAGUGUUGCAAGUAACACAAGAAAGUACAAAAAUAUGUUGAUAAUUCGUAAUAACAACAAUGGCAGUAUCAACAAAUGAUAUGAUAUGAAUGUAUAUAGGAAUACCUGAGGGUUACUUGGAAAUAUUAAUUAUGAUAAAGUAAACUUAUAAAAGAAAUUAAUACUUAAUAAUAAUUAAACAUUUUGUAAUAAUUAUGGAAGAUGGUCAGUACUCGCGAGAGAACUCUAAACUCUUAGCUUAGCCACUACAUUAUACGCGUAUAAUACUUAUUCUAUACUCUUUCUAGUACAUACACUACAUUUCAACGUUUAACCUUUGGCUGUAUUACAAGGUAUUUUAAAGCUUUCAGUUAUCACAAGGUAUUUACGUCUAGCUAUUAUAAUAGACUUUUUAUUAUUCAAAACUAAAAGAUUCUAUUGGACUCAUUAAAUGAUGAUUAAUUGUUACUAUCAAGGAUUUGUGGUCUAGUUUUAAGCUGUUGUAUAAAGUGUACAGACAAUCAAGAUGAACAUUUUGAAUAACUACUGCAUUUCAAAAAUAAAGUGUUCAAAUAGUUAUCUUAUAAAUUUGUGUGCUUGCCUGUAUGUAUUAUUAUGAAUAAACGAAAUGCAACAUA